UACGUAGGGGGCAAGCGUUGUCCGGAAUCAUUGGGCGUAAAGCGCGUGUAGGCGGCUGGGUAAGUCCGCUCUGAAAGCCCGGGGCUCAACCCCGGGAGGCGGGUGGAUACUGCUCAGCUCGAGUCCGGAAGAGGAGUGUGGAAUUCCUGGUGUAGCGGUGAAAUGCGUAGAUAUCAGGAGGAACACCGGUGGUGUAAACGGCUUUCUGGACCAUAACUGACGCUGAGGCACGAAAGCGUGGGUAGCAAACAGG
rnacentral:rRNA from 1 species